GGAUUUUUAAAUCACCAAAUAUUUGUAUUGAAUUUCGGCCUUAAUAAAUCCUCUAGUCUGCAUCCUUGAAAAAGAUAUCCCAGUCUGUGCAGAGGAAGCAUCCCUUCAGCUCCUCCUUUUUGUCCCUGGACCAUACCUUCACAGACUGGAUUUCCAGUGUAACUGAGCGUUAUGUGGGGAGCAGCUGGAUAAUAUUAUGGUCAGAGUUAUUCAGGGGAGGUCUGGCUCUGGCUGUGUAGGCGUCCUUGAUAUAUCACUUAUCGAGGAUGUUGUUGUUUCUAGUGUUACACUUAACAUAUGGAUGAAAGCCAGGCAAAGUUUUAUUCAGGCUGCAGUGGUUGAAAUAGCUUGAAAAGUAUCAGCAUGGGAGCAUCAUGUUUGUUCUGUAGAUGGCGAUGGACACAGCCUGUGAUUGCUUUAGCUGCUCUGCUGGCCUUGCCACUUGGCGGAAUAUAAACAACACACAAUUAUGUUGGUAAAUUCUCUUGGCAAAUAAUGUGGCUGCAUCAGCUCCAGGUCGGGGUUGCAUAUUUUGUGUCUCACUGCAAAGUUAUGGCACCAACUGUCCUUGAUAUAAAUACCCUCCCCCCUCUAACUGUAGGUGGGAAAAACCUUCAAUUUGAAUAAAGUUGUCUGGCACUUCUUCACUAAACCAGGUUUCCGUAAAAGCCAUUAGACCAGACUCAGGGUAUUCGUAGCAGGCUCCAACCUGUUGACGCAGUUCAUCCAGUGUGUUUUUUAAGGAUCGUGGGUUGCAGAGAUGUAUGGGUGGUAGCGGUAGCUUGGUGGCUCCUCGGAUGUGCUGUCUGAGACCGCCUCUCCUAACCCGUUUCUUGGCCUUCCUGUCUCGACAGAGGCCCGGUCCGUGAUGUUGUCGUAGCUCCCCAGGCACAUCGUGGAGCAGAUCAGGCGACGGUAGCACUCCGCUGUCCCGCAGUCCCAGCAGCUCGGACCGGCUGUACAUUAGAAGGCCACUGCUGCUGAUGGACCCGUCAGCAGAGCCCUGAAUGACUUGGCCAGACAGGAUUAGCCACGGCAGUGCUAGUGGUUCCAUUAUAUUCCAAUUCACUUCGCAAACAUGCCGCAUACAGUUCACAACGCAAGUUAUAUCCAGCAAAUUUGCACACUGAGUCUGCUGAUACCAGAUAAACAAAAAAUGGUGUUCCUGUUUUGGAUUUGACGUCUCUCUUCCUCCCAAAUCUGAGGGAGAUGUCUUCAGUCCAUAGAAACUGUGAUCCUGCCGUAUACAAUGAUGUUAAGAAAACAUUUGACAGUUGCACCAUUGCUGAUACUUGUGCUGAGUGUCUUCAGAGGACAUACCCUCACAUGUCAUCCAACAGAGUAUCAGAACGAGGAUCAGUGCUGUCCUACA